rnacentral:lncRNA from 1 species
GGAAAAAAGGCCUGGAAAAGCACCAUUCCUGUCCAUGAAGCCCCCAGAUGGAACCAGGUCCUGUUCAGAAACCCCAUCUGUGCCUUUGGAGGGACUGCCCUGAGCACAGAGGCCCACAUCUACGGCCCCCAGGACCUAAUCCCCUUCUACAUAGGGGUUCAGUGCAUGUCACAGGCCCAGCAAUCACAUCUGCAGCCCCCAGGACCUAAUCCCGUUCUACAUAGGGUUCAGUGCAU